rnacentral:rRNA from 1 species
GCUUACGGCCAUACCACCCUGAACACGCCGAUCUCGUCCGAUCUCGGAAGCUAAGCAGGGUCGGGCCUGGUUAGACUUGGAUGGGAGACCGCCUGGGAAUACCAGGUGCUGUAAGCU